UGGGCUUAUUAAUAUCUUUUAUAUUCCAUCA
rnacentral:rRNA from 1 species